CAUAGACAAAACUAGAGGAGACAUUCGGAAGCAACUACACACGUUAAGUUGGCUGCAGCUGAGCUAUGCGAUUAGUAUUUGUCGAUGUGUUUAUUAAAGUCCUCGGUAAUUGGCUAUACGAGUAGCCUACGUCCACAAUCGAUUAUUAUAAUAGUUCCUUCAUUUUUUAUGCAUGUAUGCAAGUAAUUGCCCAAGUGCCGCGGUGAAAAAUAACAACAGAGAAACAAGCAAAAGAACGAGAAAUAAGUAAAAUGAAAUUAUUUACCCUAGGCUUGUUGGGCUACUGUUUGCACUAGGACACUUCAUAAAAGCCAUAAUCGUAGGAUAAUUCUUGUUGUUGUUGUUCUAUUUCUGCUGGCCUAGCCACAUGGCCAACUUGGUGAAUGGCAAAGCUCGAAUGGCAGCCGCAUGAAUAAUGGAAACAAAUCGGCAGCAAACGGCAAAAAGUUAAAUGCUUCUAAUGACAGAAAAUGAAGCAAAUAACGAAAAAUUGCGCAAAACAAAGGAGACAAAUAAUAAUAUACCAAAAUGGCCGACCAGUUGGGCUGACAAUCGGUUAGCCCUGGUCUACUGCCUGGUCACUCAGCCCGCACGCUUUCUGCGUGCGUGUCUGCUCGCUGUGCGUGCGUGUGUGUGUGUGUCUGUCUCUGAGCAAGAGCAAAAGAGAAUGUUACUCUCAGAGGAGCACGAGAAAGUGAAAGUGAAUUAACAGCAAGCAACUGCGGGCGAAUCGAGAAAAGCAUGUGCGCGGCAUAAUUACGAAGCAAUUAAACGGAAUUAUGAUUGAGGUCGCUCGACAGGCGAUGACUCCGAGAGUCACUGUACACAGAACAUAUGGCCACUGGCUGUAGUGUAGGUCGGGUACACCGUCCCUUCCGCAGUGCGAGGCGUGCCAAUGGGAUGCGUACAUCAUUAUCAUCUAUGCCACAGCGAAUGGGGCGCAGCACGAUUGCCAGUGAAUACAAGAACAAAACGUAGACACAAAUAAAGUACAAUAAAAGCUGUAAAGGCUAAUCAAAAUGCGCCAAGACGAAUUUGCAAUGCACUCACUUGUAUUAUUCCAAAUAUUUACAUAUGAAGAGAUGAUAAUUGAAAUGAUUUUGGAUCUAUGAUAAAUGUGUGCCUGCCUCUUUUAUCUGGGUAAUGUAAAAAAAAAAGAAUAAAACAAAAAAAGAGGAAAAACCUAAUGCUGGCACUAAUGACCAUGCAAUCUGCGGGUGCCAAAUGGGCAAUGGAUGUUUGAGCAGCUGCCGUUGGGACUGGGCUUAUGGAAAUGGUUAAGCUCUGCAUACAUAUAUGUAUGUGGGAUGGGCCUCAGGACAACAGGGGAGCUAAACAGGACAACAAACAUUGAACGUUAAAAGUGAAUCGCGUGAAGCACUUCAAUUAUGGCAAAUGCGUUAUAGAGUUGACACGCUGGACCCAUUGAAAAGGGUCAAAAUGGGUAUGUUGGUUUGGAUAUAUUGUGUAAGUAACAGAUAGAAAAUGAUAUUUUUGUGAAACAUUUCUUAUUGUGUAUAAAUAGAAACAUCCAAUUGCUAUUGCCUAUUAAUAGAAACAUUAAAUUUGUAGUAAAA